rnacentral:lncRNA from 1 species
GUAUCUUCAGUUAUAAGAAAAUUAUAUAAAUUGCUUUCUUUAUUAAUCAUAGACUCAUCUUAAACCAUAUUUGAAAAUGGUGUUCUUUUCCAAUAAUGUAAUGGUAUUUAAAUGUCACUUCAUUUCCAAGACUCCAGAUAUUUAAUUUGGAAUGUUGAAAUGACUUAUCAAAACCAGAAAUCCUAAAUCUUUGAGGUAUCCUUUAUUGCAAAAUCCAGGACAAACUUUUAUUUUAUGAUAAUUUACUGAUAAAGUUUACUUUUUGUCUGGCAGCUGUUUCAGUCCCAGCUCUCAGGAUGAAAAGUUAAUAUUUUUACAGAUGCCACACAUUCUGGGGACAGAGCUAGUCUCUCCCCAUACAUAAUUCCUGACACCCCAUGCACAGCCUUUUAUCCCUCCUGUGGCCACUGCUACUGUCAUUUUGCUGCUUCUGAUGCCAUUACUGUCUCCCAAAUGGUCUCAGAUUUGGUUUGGCAGCCCCCUUAGGGGCCUGUGGUGCCAUGAACUGUCUCAAGGCUUUUGGUUGUAUGCCAUGCCAACUGCUAUGCAUUCAAGUUUUCCACAUGCCCAGAAGCCUGAGCUAGCAUGUAUCAACUGCUACAGGACCACAAACAUGUGUGUGCUCUGCCACCCAGUUUGUCUGCUCUGCUCCCAUACAGACUUUAAUGUUCCACUGGACUUCAUUUCAAAACUUCAAGUCCAAAGAGUUUCAAGAUGGUGAAAUCAAAGCUUAAUACAAGUUUGGGCUUCUGUGUGACUGCACGGAUGGCAGGCUGAUGAAACUAUGUGAUGAUUUAAGUGGGUCAGUGAUUUGAAAGUGGCAAGAUAUAAUGAUUGGAUGCUAGGAAGUUUUGAGAAAGGCUUUGAAUUUUCCUCUAAUAGGGAUAAAAGAUUGAAAAUAUUUUUAUUAUAGUUAGUGCUCAGCAGAGAACUCUUUGGACAAAAGAUUGUUAACAGAGAAUUGACUAAACUACCCAAGAUGUGUGUUUAUUUUUCAUGAGUCAACCUGGUUCUUCUUAAUGAAACAAAAUCAAAG